rnacentral:rRNA from 1 species
UGGGGAAUUUUGGACAAUGGGCGCAAGCCUGAUCCAGCAAUGCCGCGUGCAGGAUGAAGGCCUUCGGGUUGUAAACUGCUUUUGUACGGAACGAAAAGCCUCUCUCUAAUACAGGGGGGUGAUGACGGUACCGUAAGAAUAAGCACCGGCUAACUACGUGCCAGCAGCCGCGGUAAUACGUAGGGUGCAAGCGUUAAUCGGAAUUACUGGGCGUAAAGCGUGCGCAGGCGGUUUUGUAAGACAGUGGUGAAAUCCCCGGGCUCAACCUGGGAACUGCCAUUGUGACUGCAAGGCUGGAGUGCGGCAGAGGGGGAUGGAAUUCCGCGUGUAGCAGUGAAAUGCGUAGAUAUGCGGAGGAACACCGAUGGCGAAGGCAAUCCCCUGGGCCUGCACUGACGCUCAUGCACGAAAGCGUGGGGAGC